CAAUGCCGCGCCGCAUUUGUGCAGAUACGUCUGCGAUCGCCAUUGACGUAAUGAGAUCUGCAAGGAAAUCCGCCACGUUCAGGAAAUCACAGUCGCCGCGCAACGCGAUCGAUCUACGCAUUAUCUCUAGCACACGAUGACUCGAAUGACGAUAAGUUAUAAUCUGUGACAAUCUCAGAAAGGCCUGAUUUUACUUCUUUUUUAAUUAAUUUUUUGAAAUUCUGGAUUCAAUAUUAAUUAUGAAGUAAUCGGUAAAUUUGAUUCAAAAAAACGUGUAAAGGAUUCUAAAAGAACUGAAUAAUUAUGUUACAUUAAUGUUCAAACCAAA